rnacentral:tRNA from 1 species
GGUCAGCUGGCGGAGGCUGCUGCUGCCGGUUGCAGGCUGGCUGCCAUGGAAGUGAGCUCUCACGCACUCGCUCAGCAGCGCGUGGCUGGCUG